CAAGAUGAAAAAUCUAAGCAACUAUCUUUCUCUGUCUGCUAACAGAAGUGGAGAGAUGAAACUGUCAGUUGAAACAGACAUGGUGGCAGUCAGCACACACUUUCAGAACCUCUUGAACCCAACAUGGGGGAAUCAGGAUGGCUGUCAAAUAUUGCAGUCCUCACAAGGUCAAGAAGAAUUUGCUACAGCCAGAAUUGACAUAAGAAAAUUUGCCCAGUUUCUUAAUGGGCAACAGGUCAAUCCAAAGAGAGUCAUAUGCAGUAUGUCCACUUUUUUUUUUUCAUAUCUACAUAUCUCAAGACUUACAUAGCAAUGAGCUGCCAACAAAAGUUCUCAGGUGCAACCUUCUUGUUGGAAUCAUUGUAGUCAAAGUCAAU
rnacentral:sRNA from 1 species